GCUCUGGUGGCCUAGUGGUUAGAGCAUCUGCCUCGAAUGCGGGAGGUAGUGGGUUUGAUCCCUGGUCAAGUCA